rnacentral:rRNA from 1 species
GCGGCAAGAGCCCAAAUUUGAAAUCGGGCAACCGAGUUGUAAUUUGGAGACGGGACACUAGAGAGGAGGAAGGCGAUUAAGUGCCUUGGAACAGGCUGCCGUAGAGGGUGAGAGCCCCGUGAAUCGCUGGAGACCGAUCAAUUAGUGCCCGCCGAAGAGUCGAGUUGUUUGGGAAUGCAGCUCUAAGUGGGUGGUAUAUUCCAUCUAAGGCUAAAUAUUAGCGAGAGACCGAUAGCAAACAAGUACAGUGAUGGAAAGAUGAAAAGAACUUUGGAAAGAGAGUGAAAUAGUACGUGAAAUUGUUGAAAGGGAAGGGUAUUUGAUCCGACAUGGUGUUUAGCAGCGGCCCGUUCCUCGUGGAUGGGUGCACCUGGUUUACACUGGGCCAGCAUCGGUUCUGGGAGCCAUAUACGGGGUUCGUGAAUGUGGCCCUUCGAUUCUGUCGGAGGGUGUUAUAGCGCGGACAUCUUGUGGCUAGCCGGGACCGGGGACUGCGGUGACUUGUCACCAAGGAUGCUGGCAGAACGAGCAAAUACCACCCGUCUUGAA